UGCCAGCCGCCGCGGUAACACGGGGGGCGCAAGCGUUAUUCGGAAUUAUUGGGCGUAAAGGGCGCGCAGGCGGUCUUGUCCGUCAGGCGUGAAAGCCCGGGGCUCAACCUCGGAACUGCAUCCGAUACUGCCUUGCUAGAGUAAUGGAGGGGCAUCUGGAAUUCACGGUGUAGCAGUGAAAUGCGUAGAUAUCGUGAGGAACACUAGUGGCGAAGGCGAGAUGCUGGACAUUUACUGACGCUGAGGUACGAAGGCCAGGGUAGCGAAAAGGAUUAGAUA
rnacentral:rRNA from 1 species